UUCUCAUUCUCCAGGUCUAUCAUCUUCUGUGUCAGCGCGGCCUCCGUGCUGUCGAUCUGUUUCAACCACUAGGAGGCAGAAGCAGUAAUAGGAGGAGGGGGAGGAGGAAAGAGAGAUGAGAAGGACUCGUGGCCCCCCAACAAGAGGAGACAUCCUUCUGAAGUACAGGUUCUAGAGGAAGCAUUGAGAAACACCGGGGCGUGAACAUCUAACGACAGUCAUACUGCUCAGGUUUCACAUGCUGCCUCAGCGCUGGGGGUCAUGGUGGUUACCACAGAACCACAGAGACCGUCAUGAGGAAUGUCUAACAGUCCUUCUCUCCUUUAGAUCCCAUUCCGUCAAACUGCUGAUUCCGGUUCCAUCUCACCACGAAAGCCGUGCCAAAACUGGAUGGGCUGGUUGUCAUCGCCUCCUUCCCGUUUCCCGCCUCUCCAGCCCCGGAUUAUAAAAGACGCCAUAUAUAUAUAUAUAUCUGUGUGUGUGUAUGGGUGUAAGGGUUGUAGAGAGUGACUGGCAUUUAUUUUUCUGUGUGUACAGCGUUUUAGUCCCUGUUUUGUGGUUAGAGGGGGUUAGGAUAGCUUUUGUCUUUUGUUUUAUUUUUCUUUGGGGUUAAGGAAGUUACGGUCGGUACGCGGGUAGCUAGUUCACUUGGUUUUGUUUAUUGUUUUGGCCGGUGUCACUCCUGAAGCUCACCUUUUCCCCAAAUACACAUAUUUUCUGUUACCACCAACGCCUUGGGUGUUAAUUAUUCCCCGACCUCCUUGUCCUCUAACUCCCGACUCCCCGUUAUUUUCCCGACCCUUACCGCUGUUCAUGCCCCGUCCCUAGAUCGGGACGUAACAGUAGAAGAAGCGUUUGCAUAAUAAACAAACUAUUCAGUGCACACUAAUGACUGGCUGGUCGGGGUAAGAUACACAGGUCCCAGCUGUACAAUGUGCUAAUGCCGACACUGAUAGUGACAGUGAUGUUUGACCUGUGGCUUUCAGAGUCAUAGUGAAAGUGAAAUGAAUGGACAAUUCCACCUACAUAGGAGUCAGGUGUGUGACGCUGGGGUUUAGAUCACGCACAAGGAUCGCUACUCAUUCUGUGAAAGCCUUUUACACACACACACACACACACACACACACACACACACACACACACACCAAUUGGACCAAUAUGUACUCAUCCACACUGGACCCCUAAUCAGAC